GGAUCGUGGUCUGGCGUUGGCACGUGGCAGAAGGUGGUGGUCUUGAUCGGCUCAGUCGCGUCGGUGGUGUUCGGCAUUCUGCUGCUAUAUUUCGGUUUGCGCAUGUGGUGGAAGAUGUCCGGCGAUGACUCCGAGGCCACACAGUACAUGGUCGAACGUCUGGAGAAAGCUCACACACCUCUCGACUUGGUCAGAAUCAAGUGGGAGCACGACAUUGUGCGCCAGGAAUGCAGCGCAGAGAGAAAUCCAUGUGAGUGCAGCCUGGUGCUGCGAAACCGGAGGACGUACCGAACAGUUAUCGUCAUCUCCUUCAUCAUCUUCGCCAUC